rnacentral:rRNA from 1 species
GACGAACGCUGGCGGCGCGCCUAACACAUGCAAGUCGAACGGAGCUGAGAGAAGCUUGCUUUUCUUAGCUUAGUGGCGAACGGGUGAGUAACGCGUGAGUAACCUGCCCUGGAGUGGGGGACAACAGUUGGAAACGACUGCUAAUACCGCAUAAGCCCACGAUCCGGCAUCGGAUUGAGGGAAAAGGAUUUAUUCGCUUCAGGAUGGACUCGCGUCCAAUUAGCUAGUUGGUGAGGUAACGGCCCACCAACGCGACGAAUGGUAGACGGACUGAGAGGCUGGACGGCCACAUUGGGACUGAGACACGGCCCAGACUCCUACGGGAGGCAGCAGUGGGGGAUAUUGCACAAUGGGGGAAACCCUGAUGCAGCGACGCCGCGUGGAGGAAGAAGGUUUUCGGAUUGUAAACUCCUGUCGUUAGGGACGAUAAUGACGGUACCUAACAAGAAAGCACCGGCUAACUACGUG